UGGGGAAUAUUGCACAAUGGGCGCAAGCCUGAUGCAGCCAUGCCGCGUGUAUGAAGAAGGCCUUCGGGUUGUAAAGUACUUUCAGCGGGGAGGAAGGUGUUGUGGUUAAUAACCUCAGCAAUUGACGUUACCCGCAGAAGAAGCACCGGCUAACUCCGUGCCAGCAGCCGCGGUAAUACGGAGGGUGCAAGCGUUAAUCGGAAUUACUGGGCGUAAAGCGCACGCAGGCGGUCUGUCAAGUCGGAUGUGAAAUCCCCGGGCUCAACCUGGGAACUGCAUCCGAAACUGGCAGGCUUGAGUCUUGUAGAGGGGGGUAGAAUUCCAGGUGUAGCGGUGAAAUGCGUAGAGAUCUGGAGGAAUACCGGUGGCGAAGGCGGCCC
rnacentral:rRNA from 1 species